AUUUAGCUUGCUAGAUAGUUGAGAGCGGCGAACGGGUGAGUAAUACGUUGAUAUUUGCCCCUAGGUCAGGGAUAGCCAUCUGAAAAGAUGAUUAAUACCGGAUAGUCUCUUCGGAGUAAAAAUUUAUUGCCUAGGGAGAAGUCUUCGUUCUAUCAGCUAGUUGGUGAGGUAAUAGCUCACCAAGGCUAUGACGGAUAACUGGUCUGAGAGGAUGAUCAGUCACAAUGGAACUGAGACACGGUCCAUACUCC
rnacentral:rRNA from 1 species